rnacentral:rRNA from 1 species
GUAACACGUAAACAACCUGCCUUCAGGAUGGGGACAACAGACGGAAACGACUGUUAAUACCGAAUAAGUUCCAAGAGCCGCAUGGCCCAUGGAAGAAAAGGUGGCCUCUACCUGUAAGCUAUCGCCUGAAGAGGGGUUUGCGUCUGAUUAGCUGGUUGGAGGGGUAACGGCCCACCAAGGCGACGAUCAGUAGCCGGUCUGAGAGGAUGAACGGCCACACUGGAACUGAGACACGGUCCAGACUCCUACGGGAGGCAGCAUG